GACGGAGGGCGCAAGCGUUGUUCGGAAUACUGGGCGUAAAGCGCGGGCAGGUGGCCCGUUAAGUCUGCGGUGAAAUCCCGGGGCUCAACUCCGGAUAUGCCGCGGAUACUGGCGGGCUAGAGACUGGUAGAGGCGAGUGGAAUUCCAGGUGUAGCGGUGGAAAUGCGUAGAUAUCUGGAAGAACACCGGUGGCGAAGGCGGCC
rnacentral:rRNA from 1 species